rnacentral:rRNA from 1 species
UACGAAGGGGGCUAGCGUUGCUCGGAAUCACUGGGCGUAAAGGGCGCGUAGGCGGCUCAUGAAGGCUGUGGUGAAAGUCCGGGGCUCAACCUCGGAUCGGCCGUGGCGACUCGUGGGCUGGAGCACUGUAGAGGCGGGUGGAAUUCCGGGUGUAGCGGUGGAAUGCGUAGAGAUCCGGAGGAACACCGAUGGCGAAGGCAGGUCUCUGGGCCACUACUGACGCUGAGAAGCGAAAGCAUGGGGAGCGAACAGG